AUGUCUUUGUCUCUGUAGGGUGUUGCCCCAAGACUGCCACGAAGAAAUGAUAAAAGGUCGAUGUACCAGUGUUCCUCAAGUUCUUCCUCGGUAGGAUCCAAAUUUUCAAUCUGCACAAAGUUCAGGGAACCCUAGAUUAGUAAAUUUUUGGGGAACUUGAGACUGAUCAGAGGUUGCAAAGGAGAAUUACAAAGGAGGUAGGGAGGGAUUUUGUAC